rfam:Prevotella saccharolytica F0055 genomic scaffold Scfld253, whole genome shotgun sequence.
GGGGCUGACCGGAUUUGACAGCAGGAUGAAAUGAUAUGUAAGCACGCGGAGCGUAGAUUGACCGGCUCCUUAAUCUCAGUUAUCAACAAUUUAAUUGGCGAAAAUAAUUACGCUCUCGCUGCCUAACCGAAGCACAGUAGGUUUUUGGCUUUAUUCCGUUACAAGGUGAUGGAACGAGACAUCGCUCAAAGGCUGUUGUUCCGAAGUUCUUUGGUUAAGCGGUGCAGGUAAAUCGGAAAUAGUUUGCUGCCGCCUCAUGCAGCAGAUGAAGCUUUAGAGGAUAAGGCAUUGGUUGGUGGUCCGGGUCUUGCCAAUGCACGAAAACCACAGGCCGGAAUAAGCGUGUAGAAAGCGUAUGGUUUCCUUGUUUGGACGCGGGUUCGACUCCCGCCAGCUCCACCA